CCCUUUAUCAAUUUACAUUAAAUUUAAUAGGCUAGUCAAUAUUAAAACAUAUUACUCUGAUCUGACAAAGCAUAAACUUCCUUUCAUUAAAACAUUAAAAUAGCCAAUACAUAGAGGAUAUAAAAUAAGAGCCAACAUGCAGGGACCAAAACAUUAAACAAAAUAAACAAAGCCUCACUACACUAAAGUGGAGACUAAUUUUGGAUUUUGAAAAUUCCAUCCAAAAUCCUUAUUCAUUCUUCUUCUUCUUCUUCUUUUUAAUCAUAUAUUAUAUCUCCU
rnacentral:lncRNA from 1 species